rnacentral:rRNA from 1 species
UACGAAGGGGGCUAGCGUUGCUCGGAAUUACUGGGCGUAAAGCGCACGUAGGCGGGGUCAUUAAGUCGGGGGUGAAAUCCUGGAGCUCAACUCCAGAACUGCCUCCGAAACUGAUGAUCUUGAGUUCGGGAGAGGUGAGUGGAACUGCGAGUGUAGAGGUGAAAUUCGUAGAUAUUCGCAAGAACACCAGUGGCGAAGGCGGCUCACUGGCCCGAUACUGACGCUGAGGAGCGAAAGCAUGGGUAGCGAACAGG